ensembl:snoRNA snoRNA:Psi28S-3571 snoRNA:Psi28S-3571
CGGAAUGUUCUCAGGAAGAUGACUCAAUGAUCCAGUUGUGCAUCUUUAAUUGAUAUUCCUAGAGUAAGAAAGUUCGACGGAGUUUUACCCAAUUCGCAAAUGACCUUUCGCUUCAUUUGGGUGCUGAUUUAAUUUCGUACACCU